rnacentral:rRNA from 1 species
GAGCGGAUGAAAGGAGCUUGCUCCUGGAUUCAGCGGCGGACGGGUGAGUAAUGCCUAGGAAUCUGCCUGGUAGUGGGGGACAACGUUUCGAAAGGAACGCUAAUACCGCAUACGUCCUACGGGAGAAAGCAGGGGACCUUCGGGCCUUGCGCUAUCAGAUGAGCCUAGGUCGGAUUAGCUAGUUGGUGAGGUAAUGGCUCACCAAGGCAACGAUCCGUAACUGGUCUGAGAGGAUGAUCAGUCACACUGGAACUGAGACACGGUCCAGACUCCUACGGGAGGCAGCAGUGGGGAAUAUUGGACAAUGGGCGAAAGCCUGAUCCAGCCAUGCCGCGUGUGUGAAGAAGGUCUUCGGGUUGUAAAGCACUUUAAGUUGGGAGGAAGGGUUGUAGAUUAAUACUCUGCAAUUUUGACGUUACCGACAGAAUAAGCACCGGCUAACUCUGUG